CCUACGGGAGGCAGCAGUGGGGAAUAUUGCACAAUGGGGGAAACCGUGAUGCAGCAACGCCGCGUGAGUGAAGAAGUAUUUCGGUAUGUAAAGCUCUAUCAGCAGGGAAGAAGAUGACGGUACCUGAUUAAGAAGCCCCGGCUAACUACGUGCCAGCAGCCGCGGUAAUACGUAGGGGGCAAGCGUUAUCCGGAUUUACUGGGUGUAAAGGGAGCGUAGACGGCAGGGCAAGUCUGGAGUGAAAGGCGGGGGCUCAACCCCCGGACUGCUCUGGAAACUGCCAGGCUGGAGUGCAGGAGAGGUAAGUGGAAUUCCUAGUGUAGCGGUGAAAUGCGUAGAUAUUAGGAGGAACACCAGUGGCGAAGGCGGCCUGCUGGACGAUGACUGACGUUGAGGCUCGAAAGCGUGGGGAGCAAACAGGAUUAGAUACCCGAGUAGUC
rnacentral:rRNA from 1 species